UACGGGGGGGGCAAGCGUUGUCCGGAGUUACUGGGCGUAAAGGGUGCGCAGGCGGCGGUGCGCGUGGAUAGGUGAAAUCUCCUGGCUUACCUGGGAGAGUGGUAUCCAGACGGCAUCGCUUGAGGGUCGGAGAGGGGCGUGGAAUUCCGGGUGGAGCGGUGAAAUGCGUAGAUAUCUGGAGGAACACCGGUGGCGAAGGCGGCAUCCUGGACCAACACUGACGCUGAGGAGCGAAAGCCAGGGGAGCAAACGGG
rnacentral:rRNA from 1 species